GACGAACGCUGGCGGCGUGCUUAACACAUGCAAGUCGAACGAAGUGGAGCACGGGUGAGUAACGCGUAAUCAACCUGCCCUUCAGAGGGGGACAACAGUUGGAAACGACUGCUAAUACCGCAUAAUGAAGGAGGGGAUUGCGGCUGAUUAGCUAGUUGGAGGGGGACCGGCCCGCCAAGGAGAGGAUCAGUAGCCGGUCUGAUAGGAUCAACGGCCACAUUGGGACUGGGACACGUCCCAGACUCCGACGGGAGGCAGCAGUGGGGAAUCUUCCGCAAUGGACGAAAGUCUGACGGAGCAACGCCGCGUGAGUGAUGACGGCCUUCGGGUUGUAAAGCUCUGUUAAUCGGGACGCGGUACCGGAAUAGAAAGCCACGGCUAACUACGUGCCAGCAGCCGCGGUAAUAC
rnacentral:rRNA from 1 species